GGGGCUAUGGCGCAAUUGGUAGCGCACCUGCUUUGCAAGCAGGGGGUUACGGGUUCGAGUCCCGUUAGCUCCACAA
rnacentral:tRNA from 5 species